rnacentral:rRNA from 1 species
UUUGAAAUCUGGCCCCUAGGGCCCGAGUUGUAAUUUGCAGAGGAUGCUUUGGGCGAGGUGCCUUCCGAKUUCCCUGGAACGGGACGCCACAGAGGGUGAGAGCCCCGUCUGGUCGGACACCGAGCCUGUGUAAAGCUCCUUCGACGAGUCGAGUAGUUUGGGAAUGCUGCUCAAAAUGGGAGGUAUAUGUCUUCUAAAGCUAAAUAUUGGCCAGAGACCGAUAGCGCACAAGUAGAGUGAUCGAAAGAUGAAAAGCACUUUGAAAAGAGGGUUAAAAAGUACGUGAAAUUGUUGAAAGGGAAGCGCCUAUGACCAGACUUGGGCCCGGUGAAUCAUCCAGCGUUCUCGCUGGUGCACUUUGCCGGGCACAGGCCAGCAUCAGUUUGGCGCGGGGGACAAAGGCUUCGGGAAUGUGGCUCCCUAGGGAGUGUUAUAGCCCGCUGCGCAAUGCCCUGCGCCGGACUGAGGUACGCGCAUCGCAAGGAUGCUGGCGUAAUGGUCAUCAGCGACCCGUCUUGAAACACGGACCAAGGAGUCGUCUUCGUAUGCGAGUGUUCGGGUGUCAAACCCCUACGCGUAAUGAAAGUGAACGCAGGUGAGAGCUUCGGCGCAUCAUCGACCGAUCCUGAUGUUCUCGGAUGGAUUUGAGUAAGAGCAUACGGGGCCGGACCCGAAAGAAGGUGAACUAUGCCUGUAUAGGGUGAAGCCAGAGGAAACUCUGGUGGAGGCUCGCAGCGGUUCUGACGUGCGAAUCGAUCGUCAAAUAUGGGCAUGGGGGCGAAAGACUAAUCGAACCUUCUAGUAGCUGGUUUC